rnacentral:rRNA from 1 species
AUAUAGGUCAAGCUACAAAGGGCGCAUGGUGAAUGCCUUGGCAUCAGGAGCCGAUGAAGGACGUGAUAAGCUGCGAUAAGCUUCGGGUAGGCGCACAUAGCCUGAGAUCCGAAGAUCUCCGAAUGAGGAAACUCACAUGGGAAACCCCAUGUAUCAUUAAGUGAAUACAUAGCUUAAUGAAGGUAACCCAGGGAACUGAAACAUCUAAGUACCUGGAGGAAGAGAAAAAAUCGAUUUCUAGUAGCGGCGAGCGAAAGGGAAGAGCCCAACCGGAAACUUGUUCCGGGGUUGUGGACAUAGCAUAAAGUGGAGGUAACUGAAGAGAACUGGAAAGUUCCACCGUAGAAGGUAAUAGUCCUGUAAGUGAAACGAGAAGACCACGAGUUAUGAUCCAGAGUACCACGAGACACGUGAAACCUUGUGGGAAGCAGGGAGGACCACUCCCAAGGCUAAAUACUACCUGAUGACCGAUAGUGAAGCAGUACCGUGAGGGAAAGGUGAAAGAACCCCGGGAGGGAGUGAAAUAGAACCUGAAACCGUGUGCCUACAACCGCUCAGAGCCCCUUAUGAGGGUGAUGAGGUGCUUUUGUAGAACGAGCCAACGAGUUACGGUAUGUAGCAAGGUUAAGUACUUAAGGUACGGAGCCGAAGGGAAACCGAGUCUGAAUAGGGCGACUAGUUGCAUGCCGUAGACCCGAAACCGGGUGACCUAUCCAUGGCCAGGUUGAAGCGAGGGUAAAACCUCGUGGAGGACCGAACCACGUUGCUGUUGAAAAGCAUGGGAUGAGCUGUGGAUAGCGGAGAAAUUCCAAUCGAACCCGGAGAUAGCUGGUUCUCUCCGAAAUAGCUUUAGGGCUAGCGUCGAGUAUGAGUAGUGGAGGUAGAGCACUGAAUGGGCUAGGGGGCAUAGCGCUUACCGAACCUUAUCAAACUCCGAAUGCCACAUACUUUGAGCUCGGCAGUCAGACUACGAAUGAUAAGAUCCGUGGUCAAAGGGAACAGCCCAGAUCGUCAGCUAAGGUCCCAAAGUGUAAGUUAAGUGGGAAAGGAUGUGAGAUUUCUAAGACAACUAGGAUGUUGGCUUAGAAGCAGCCAUUCAUUAAAAGAGUGCGUAAUAGCUCACUAGUCGAGAGAUCUUGCGCCGAAAAUGUAACGGGGCUAAACUUACCACCGAAGCUACGGGCUUGAACUUAGUUCAAGCGGUAGGAGAGCGUCGUAACCGGGCUGAAGUCGUACCGUAAGGAGCGGUGGACUGGUUACGAGUGAGAAUGUUGGCAUCAGUAGCGAGAUGUGGGUGAGAAUCCCACAGGCCGAAAACCUAGGUUUCCUCAGGAAGGUUCGUCCGCUGAGGGUUAGUCGGGACCUAAGCCGAGGCCGAAAGGCGUAGGUGAUGGACAACUGGUUGAUAUUCCAGUACCACUACCAUCGUUAUUAUCGAUGGCGUGACGCAGGAGGAUAGUGUGUGCUAGCUAUUGGAUGCUAGUCUAAGCGUUUAGGCAGUGAGAGUAGGCAAAUCCGCUUUCAUAAUGCUGAGGCGUGAUGGGGAAGUUCUACGGAACCGAAGUACAUGAUUCCACGCUGCCAAGAAAAGCGUCUAGAGAGAGAAGUAGUGCCCGUACCGCAAACCGACACAGGUAGGUGAGGAGAGAAUCCUAAGGCCGGCGGAAGAAUUACAGUUAAGGAACUCGGCAAAUUGACCCCGUAAGUUCGCGAGAAGGGGUGCCUACGAGAGUAGGCCGCAGAGAAUAGGCCCAAGCAACUGUUUAGCAAAAACACAGGUCUCUGCUAAAGCGUAAGCUGAUGUAUAGGGGCUGACGCCUGCCCGGUGCUGGAAGUUAAGGGGAACACUUAGCGCAAGCGAAGGUGUGAACUUAAGCCCCAGUAAACGGCGGCCGUAACUAUAACGGUCCUAAGGUAGCGAAAUUCCUUGUCAGGUAAGUUCUGACCCGCACGAAUGGCGUAAUGACUUGGGCACUGUCUCAACUGUAAAUCCGGCGAAGUUGUAGUGCGAGUGAAGAUGCUCGCUACCCGCGAUUGGACGGAAGACCCCGUAGAGCUUUACUGUAGCUUAGCAUUGAGUUUUGGUAUUGUCUGUACAGGAUAGGUGGGAGACUAGGAAACCAGGGCGUCAGCCUUGGUGGAGUCAACCUUGGGAUACCACCCUGACAGUACUGAAAUUCUAACUGGCGGCCAUGAAUCUGGUCACAGGACAUUGUUAGGUGGGCAGUUUGACUGGGGCGGUCGCCUCCUAAAAGUACGGAGGCGCCCAAAGGUUCCCUCAGAACGGUCGGAAAUCGUUCGAAGAGUGCAAAGGCAGAAGGGAGCCUGACUGCGACACCCACAAGUGGAGCAGGGACGAAAGUCGGGCUUAGUGAUCCGGUGGUACCUCGUGGGAGGGCCAUCGCUCAACGGAUAAAAGCUACCUCGGGGAUAACAGGCUGAUCUCCCCAAGAGUCCACAUCGACGGGGAGGUUUGGCACCUCGAUGUCGGCUCGUCGCAUCCUGGGGCUGAAGUAGGUCCCAAGGGUUGGGCUGUUCGCCCAUUAAAGCGGCACGCGAGCUGGGUUCAGAACGUCGUGAGACAGUUCGGUCCCUAUCCGUCGCGGGCGUAGGAAAUUUGAGAGGAGCUGUCCUUAGUACGAGAGGACCGGGAUGGACUGACCUCUGGUGUACCAGUUGUUCCGCCAGGAGCACAGCUGGGUAGCUAAGUCGGGAAUGGAUAAACGCUGAAAGCAUCUAAGCGUGAAGCCAACCUCAAGAUGAGAUUUCCCAUAGCGUAAGCUAGUAAGAUCCCUUGAAGAACACAAGGUUGAUAGUCGGGGGUGUAAGCAUGGUAACAUGUUCAGCUGACCGAUACUAAUAGAUCGAGGGCUUGACCAAAU